rnacentral:rRNA from 1 species
CCUACGGGUGGCAGCAGUGGGGAAUAUUGGGCAAUGGGCGCAAGCCUGACCCAGCAACGCCGCGUGAAGGAAGAAGGCUUUCGGGUUGUAAACUUCUUUUGUCAGGGAAGAGUAGAAGACGGUACCUGACGAAUAAGCUACGGCUAACCACGUGCCAUCAGCUGCGUGAAUCCGUAGGUGGCAAGCGUUGUCCGGAUUUACUGGGUGUAAAGGGCUUGUUGGCGGGUUGACAAGUCAGAUGUGAAAUGCUGCGGCUUAACCGCAGAACUGCAGUUGAAACUGUUGAUCUUGAGUACUGGAGAGGCAGACGGAAUUCCUAGUGUAGCGGUGAAAUGCGUAGAUAUGAGGAGGAACACCAGUGGCGAAGGCAGUCUGCUGGACAGCAACUGACGGUGAGGCGCGAAAGCGUGGGGAGCAAACAGGAUUAGAUACCCGGGUAGUC